rnacentral:sRNA from 1 species
UGCGGUCCAAUUCUUGUCCAAGAAAACAUGCAUCGGUUUAACAUCUCUAUGUAUGAUGAUCUUAGGGAAUGCCGUGUGAAGAUAAGUCACCG